UACGUAGGGACCAAGCGUUGUUCGGAUUUACUGGGCGUAAAGGGCGCGUAGGCGGCGUGGUAAGUCACUUGUGAAAUCUCUGAGCUUAACUCAGAACGGCCAAGUGAUACUGCUGUGCUAGAGUGCGGAAGGGGCAAUCGGAAUUCUUGGUGUAGCGGUGAAAUGCGUAGAUAUCAAGAGGAACACCUGAGGUGAAGACGGGUUGCUGGGCUGACACGUGACGCUGAUGCGCGAAAGCCAGGGGAGGCGAACGGG
rnacentral:rRNA from 1 species